CGGAGGAUCCAAGCGUUAUCCGGAAUCAUUGGGUUUAAAGGGUCCGUAGGCGGUUUUAUAAGUCAGUGGUGAAAUCUGGUCGCUCAACGAUCAAACGGCCAUUGAUACUGUAAGACUUGAAUUACUUGGAAGUAACUAGAAUAUGUAGUGUAGCGGUGAAAUGCUUAGAGAUUACAUGGAAUACCAAUUGCGAAGGCAGGUUACUACAAGUGGAUUGACGCUGAUGGACGAAAGCGUGGGGAGCGAACAGGAUUAGAUACCCUGGUAGUCCACGCCGUAAACGAUGGAUACUAGCUGUUCGGUGCAACCUGAGUGGCUAAGCGAAAGUGAUAAGUAUCCCACCUGGGGAGUACGCUCGCAAGAGUG
rnacentral:rRNA from 1 species